rnacentral:tRNA from 1 species
AUAGCUCAGCUGGGAGAGCAUCUGCCUUACAAGCAGGGGGUCACAGGUUCGAGCCCUGUU